rnacentral:rRNA from 1 species
UAGGAAUCUUCCACAAUGGACGCAAGUCUGAUGGAGCAACGCCGCGUGAGUGAAGAAGGUUUUCGGACCGUAAAGCUCUGUUGUUGGUGAAGAAGGAUAGAGGUAGUAACUGGCCUUUAUUUGACGGUAAUCAACCAGAAAGUCACGGCUAACUACGUGCCAGCAGCCGCGGUAAUACGUAGGUGGCAAGCGUUGUCCGGAUUUAUUGGGCGUAAAGCGAGCGCAGGCGGAAGAAUAAGUCUGAUGUGAAAGCCCUCGGCUUAACCGAGGAAUUGCAUCGGAAACUGUUUUUCUUGAGUGCAGAAGAGGAGAGUAGAACUCCAUGUGUAGCGGUGGAAUGCGUAGAUAUAUGGAAGAAUACCAGUGGCGAAGGCGGCUCUCUGGUCUGCAACUGACGCUGAGGCUCGAAAGCAUGGGUAGCGAACAGGAUUAGAUACCCUGGUAGUCCAUGCCGUAAACGAUGAGUGCUAAGUGUUGGGAGGCUUCCGCCUCUCAGUGCUGCAGCUAACGCAUUAAGCACUCCGCCUGGGGGAGUACGA